ensembl:lncRNA
UUUUCCCACAACCCUGUGUGGGGAGGUAGCGGUUUGAAGUGCAGCCCAAAGAGCAAGGUCUUUCUAAGUAGAACUUGGAUGCUGGAGGCUCUGCUGGGCAGCUGGGGAUUAUGGGCAUUGAGGGCUUGGCCUGGAGUCAACAUUAGUCAUGUCCCUGUGGUCUUCUGCAGUCAGUCUAUCACUCGUUCUCUCUGUUGUCAUGUAUUUUCCAGAAUCUUGCUUUGGAGAAAGGAUCUUGCUUCAGGAGCCUGAGGAUAAGUUUGUCCUCUGCGAGCUUGGCUAGACUAAUCCCCUGGUGGCCGCACAACAGGGUGCACCCAGCCACUGAGCCAGAUGAAGCAACGCACGACGAUGUUGUGGAGGCCGGUGGGAGUGAGAAGACCGAGGAGGAGGCCCAGGCUGUGACCAAGGAGGAGGAGGCGGGCCCGGCCCCUGAGAAGGGGGCAGAGGAGGCCGCAGCCGUUGGCGAGGCAGAGGAGGAGGCGGGCCCAGGCAGUGACAAUGACAAGACGUCCCCAGCCAGGGCUGGGGCUGAGCAGGAAGAUGAAUCUGCCCCCAAGGUAAGCUCACCUUUCUUGAUGUGAGGUUGGAAAAGUCGCCUCCUUUCUUUUUUGAUAUUCCUACCUGAGAAAUGAAAAUCUGAGGAAGUCCAUUGUUUAUGAGGCAUGCAGAUUCCUCUGCGGAGGAAUGUGGCGUCAACGUUUGGUACCAGCAACUAGCUCCUUCCAAGGGGCAUUUGCAAAAGGGAGCGCAUCAGUUCCCAAGGGUACAGUAGGGAGCAUU